GAAGAUGAACUCGACCAGGUUGUCUCAUUCUUGUUUAAAGUCAUCAAGGAAACACCAGGAGCAAGGCAGCGAACAGACUGGGUCGCCUUCAUUUUUGAUGUCCUUUUGCCAGAGGUGACAGUUGCAGUUCUGGCCGAAAGACAUCAACUGACGGUAUCAGAGGCUUUAGAAAGGUUCAGAAGGGGUCCACAAUAUGAACCAUGUGAGAUGAAAAUGUUGGCAAACAACAUGAUGAAAAACCUGUCGGAGGAGGGAGCCGUAAGGCUGAAAGCUUUUGAAAAAAAAAUGAAAACAGCCCUCUCCUCUGAGGCAUUCCUCCAGAGACUUUAGAUUUUUCAUCCUACUGUAAUGGUUAUGGCCCUUUUUCUCCCCUUUUCCUUCUCUUCCCCAUUAUUGUCCUUUGUGUAUGUUUUUGGCUUGUGUGUCUCUGCCAGCCUUAGUCAGUUAGUCAAUUAGUCAAUUCCACUCACCUGUUCCCUCAACCAUUUAAACCCUCUGCUUCCCUCUGUCUUUGCCGGUUUGUUGUUUGCCUUCAUCACACGCUGCCACAGCCUCUGUUCCCCACCUCUGGACUACGUGUGUUUUUGGACCCUUGCUGCUUUUUCCCCUUCAUGGAUUUUCCCCCUUGGACUCUGCCUUUGGAUUACCUCAGUUUGUGUUUGCUCCUUUGUUUGAGUUCCUCUGUUGUGUGAGUACUUCUCUGCUUUGUUGUAUCAAGCCUUGUUGCGCUAUAGCAUUAGUUUGGUUUUUGUCCUGCUGCCCCGGUUCUAGUCGCUGUAGUUGUUUUUGGAGUUUUUGUUAAAUAAAACCCUUUUUCAUUACCACCUUUUGCCUGUCUGUUUGCCUGCGCUUGGGUUCUCUACCCCCAAAUCCUAACACCUACACACACUCGUACAUCACUACUUUGUUGUGCUCUAUAUUUUUAUCCAAAAAAGUUUGCUUGUUUAUUUGUCUUUUGGAUGAUAGAUUUCAUUUUUCAAAUUAGAAUGUUGACAGGAGCAUGUGCCAGUGGAUGCAAUGAGCUCUUAGUCAACUUUGUUUCUCAGCAGAGCAACACAUAUUAAAAGCGUGAUGAUUCACUUCAAUUGUCAUGGUUUUAAAGCUCUGGCUGACUAUCAUUCUUCAGCAGUAAAUGAAUGUAGUUACCUGACUAUGAAAUUCAAAAGCAGUCUUGUGUAUGUUGUUGACUGUUCACAUCAUCCAACCAAAUAAAGUCUGACACAAAAUGUUA